GAAGUGCGAUAAGCAGUGCGAAUUGCAGAACCGUGAGUCAUCAGAUUUUUGAACGCAACUGGCACUAGAUGGCUCUCCAUCUAGUAUGUUUGUUUCAGUGUCUUGUUUUCUCUUCACCCAAAUCUUAAUGCUGGAGAUACCCUUCUCUUGAUAAGUAAGAAAGCACUCUACACUCUGCAGGCAGUCUCGCUCGUCGAGGGUUGCACUCAAUGCAGCAGUCACAUUUUAUGUGAACUCAUUGAGAGUGGAGGUAGCGCAGUUCACUGCUAGUGCUUAGUCUCUCAAACUCUCUUGUAUCUGAAAUCAAGCAGGAUAACCCGCUGAACUUAA
rnacentral:misc_RNA from 1 species